CAGAGUGUGAGCUCUCGUAUACAGGCCCAUGCAAAUCCGAAAAAGUUCGACAUUUUUCACUCUGAUACAGCUCUCCAUCACAUCAGGGGAAAACUUUAUGUGCUUCAGCUGUGAAGACCUGACCUGGCUCCUCUGAAUACUGGGCUACAGUCUAAGCAGAGGUGUCUAAGCAAAGGUACCUUAUUUCAAGGAAGCUUUAGAGUGUAAAUAAAGCCAAGGGGUGCUUGAUAAAGCCCUGUAGACACCAAACUGGCUCCUCAGCCCCCUCCUGGGGCUCAGCACCUUACAGGUGAGAUCAAAGAAAUUUAAAGAUGAAGCAGUUCUAACAAGUGUUUAUUCCCCAGGUGUCCAAACUGCUGUUUCGAGCCACUUCAUCUUCUGACAUGUUCAUAUUUUCGUCACCUCCUCUUCACUUGAGCAGUCAAAGUCAUAUUGGGAUCAUUCACUUCCAAGCCCCCCCCCCCUUGUAAAGAUACAUGCUUUAAACUUUGAGUAGAAAAGGUUCACCUGAUGAACAGAUGGGUUGACUACAUUACUCUCUUCCCCAUCCACCUUCUACUGACAGGGUAAGUAGACCAGGGAAGGGUGAAGGGAAAUGAACUAUGUCAAUGAAUCAGCCUGA
rnacentral:lncRNA from 1 species